ensembl:lncRNA
UAUUUUUGGGCCCACCGGGUAAACAAGUGACGGGCAGCUCCGGGCUCUGCCUUAAUGCGACUUGGCAAGGCAGGGAGCGCUGCGAAGCUCGCAACGAGUUGCAGCCUUUUCCCCUCUGGAAAAAAAAAAUCCAUCCGUGUUUCCUCUGCUUCUCGUUUAGUGUCAGGACUCCAGUGUUACGGCUGCAACAUCGUGGUUGGCACCAAAAACGUGGACAUGGGGUGCUCCAACCCCGAGGUGAUCACCUGCUCCCAGUCCCACCAGGGCUUCAAGCACCGGUUCUGCAUUAAAACAGAGAGCGUGGUCCUGGGCAUCCUGCUGACCAGCGGCUGUGCCACCUCUCGCCACUGCCAGCAGCAGGAGCUGCCGGGGGUCCGCAUCCACUGCUGCGACACCGACCUGUGCAACACCUCCCCCGGAGCCCCCCGGCCGCCCCCCGGCCACCUCCUGCUGCUGCCCUGCAUCCUCACCGCCCUGCUCCUCUGGUGAGCCCCCCGUGGGUCUGGGGGAUGUGCCCGGCUCGUGGGUGGGUGCUGGCAGCUGGGUGCCCCCCUGGCUGCUCCCCAGGGUGGGCAGCAUGCCCUUCUCUCCUCUUCCUCAAUAAAAGGUGCCGAACGCUGCGCCCUGGAGAGGUGUCGGUGAUGCUCCCUGAACUCGGGGGGUACCCACAGCAUCCCGGGGAAGGAGGAACGCAAGGUUUGGGGAUCUUCCCAUAUCCUGGUGGGAUUCAGGAGGGCGGCUGAGCCCCGCUCUUCCCACGAGAGGGCAUCCGCCAGCCUCGCUCCGCAUCCCGGCCGCGGGGAUGGAGCAGCAUCCCCAGCACCGGGGGUGGGCGCUGGGCUGGGGGACCGAGCCGGUGGGAAAAGAAAAGAAAAGAAAGAGCAGAAUUUCCAGGCGUUUUUCCCAGCUGAAGAAGCCAAACGGGAGUUUUAACAGAAAAAAAAAAAAAAAAUAUAUAUAUAUAUAUAUAAAUCCCAUCCCGUGCGGAUCGGAGCCCGAGUGGCUGCUCCAAGGUCAUGGCAGGGCUGGGAAUUAAACACAUCUGUCUCAAGAGCCAGCCCUGUGUCUUUAUCACCAGGGAAACAGCAUAAACCUCGCUGUGAGAAGGGGAGGAAAUAGUUUUUAUUCUAUUUUUUUUCCUUCAGAUGAAAAAAAAAAAAAAUAAUGCAAAAGACCUUUUCCAUGCAAAACAUCAGCUUUUGAUGACAUUUCUCAGAUGUGUCUCAGAAAACAAGCCAAAACUCUACUAAAAAUAUUAUCUGAGGCACCUUCCCAAGAGAAACACCUUGGGACUGAUACAAAACACGUUCAGAUUCUGAAGAUUCAAAAUAAAAGGAAAUCAGAAAACAAAUCCUAGAAGAAAAAUGACAAGAGCAGCAACAGUACCCAAUUCCCCCUCUUUCCCCUUAAAACGUUCCUUAUGAUUUUCAGGGGAGCAGGAAACAUUUCCUUGGCAGCUGGAGUUAUUCUGGCUACUGGUUAUUUAUCUGCCUGUGCUGAACUCCUGGCAAAAGCCCUCUCCAGUAUCAAUUCCCAAUGAUCCAGGAUGGGGCAGAUUUUAUGGCCUGAGGAUGGGGAUGGGGCAGAGCUGAUGGCUGAAGAAUUGGGAUGGGGCAGAUUUUAUGGCCUCAGGAUGAGGAUAGGUCAGAGCUGAUGGCCCCAGGAUUGGGAUGGGGCAGAUUUUAUGGCCCCAGGAUUGGGAUGGGGCAAAUUUUGCCACCCCAGGAUGGGGAUGGGGCAGAUUUUACCACCCCAGGAUGGGGCUGGGGCAGAUUUUAUGGUCCCAGGAUGGGGAUGGGAUAGAUUUUGUGGCCCCACGAUGGGGAUGGGGCAGAUUUUAUGGCCCCAGGAUUGGGAUGGGGCAGAUUUUGCCACCCCAGGAUGAGGAUAGGGCAGAGCUGAUGGCUGGAGAAUCGGGAUGGGGCAGAUUUUACCACUCCAGGAUUGGGAUGGGGCAGAUUUUGGCACCCCAGGAUGGGGAUGGGGCAGAUUUUAUGGCCCCAGGAUGGGGAUGGGGCAGAUUUUACGACGCCAGGAUGGGGAUGGGGCAGAUUUUACCACCCUAGGAUGAGGA